ACAGCAGCAGCCGCGGUAAUACGAACCGUGCGAACGUUAUUCGGAAUCACUGGGCUUAAAGCGCGUGUAGGCGGGAGGGCACGUCCGUCGCUGAAAUCCCCCGGCUCAACCGGGGAACGGGCGCGGAUACGACUCUUCUGGAGGAACGUAGGGGGACCUGGAACUUCCGGUGGAGCGGUGAAAUGCGUUGAGAUCGGAAGGAACGCCCGUGGCGAAAGCGAGGUCCCGGACGUUUACUGACGCUGAGACGCGAAAGCCAGGGGAGCGAACGGGAUUAGAUACCCCUGUAGUCCCUGUCUCUUAUA
rnacentral:rRNA from 1 species